AUAAUUCUUUGUGUCUGAGAAAAGUCAUAAUUACCAUAUAGUGAUGAUAAACUUCUAAAGCUUGCUAGAAGUAGUGCUUAGCCAAAAGGCAAUAUGGGUCAUUCUGCACACACUGUCAUUAUAGCUCAAGCUUUUCUCUACCUGAGAGCUUCAGGCAGACACCAUUAGGAUCAAUCCUCUCCUGUAAACGGAGAUAAUUCCAUCUCACCAGGAUGGUGUGAUUUGGAUUAGUGCUAUAAACAUGGCUAGCUAAAGGAAGACCAUAGAAAACAACUCGAGGAAGCUAUGAAGACUGUUGGGAAAGCAAAGAAGCCAACUGGACUGUUCUAAGAAGCCAAAAUGGAACUAAAUGUGCUUUGAUUAUAUUUACAACAUUAUCCAAAGUAAUUGCCUCUCAUAUCGUGUGGAAGGUACAUGAUCUAUUUUUUUCAAGACUCAGUUAUUUGA
rnacentral:lncRNA from 1 species